rnacentral:rRNA from 1 species
CCGUAGGGUGAACCUGCGGAAGGAUCAUUC